UUGAUCUGUUCAGCUAACAUAAGACUGUGUAGCAGACAGGCUUCAAGGUGUAGAAGUUGUAUCAGUACUGCCAUUAUGUUGUACUUAGCUAAGGGGAAGCAUGUGUUUGUGAGAUGGCCACGCAAGUGGUAACGUGGAAUGGGCAUCAGCCAAUGAAAAGCGGCCCCUGUGGUAAGGUCCAUACUUACUACUCUACUCAAGGUGUUAAAUAUUAGUAAUACAAGUACUAUAAGUGAUAAAAAAUGUAUUAGUAUUCGUCAGUCAGACGUCUCCUGUGAGACGUUUUCGUCAUCUUCACUGAAGAGAAAAGUUGCUCACAUACAUAUGUAAACAGAUAUUCUGUCUCCCACCUGUCCAGAAAAGUUCUACUUUCUGUCUUUCUUUUUGCCAUUUUUUGGUAGGGUAACACAGUGACAGCUGUAGUUUGAGGUAGCAGUGUGGUUUGGGGGAGAGGCACGGGGAUGCGGGGUGCGCCGGGGCUUUCAACCGAAAGAGUGCGCAAGAAGACGGAUCACCACCUUCCUAAUACAUCCAUGUCCGCUACCAUAAGUGCUACUGACACAGAGGAGGAUGCGUAUCUGCCUCUGUCCUGAUUGACGUGCCAAAAAACAGCAGAGCAUUAUGGGAUUUGUAGUAUAAGCGGUGAAUGCGGCGUCACAGCGUUGCCAAUGUAUAAUACCGGCAGGCUGGCUCUAAUAUUAAUUUGAAAUUGCCUCGCGGGCCAAAUAUAAUUACACUGCGGGCCAACUUUGGCCCGUGGGCCAGAGUUUGACACCUAUGGUCUAAGUGGUGCUGCUUUUGGGGUGUUUGUGUGUCUGGACGGGAGACAUGUCUGUGGACUGUUAGUUGGCCAUCUAUGGUGGAAGGAUUGUGAAAUGCCACCCAAUGCUGAAAAAUACAAUGUCCUUGCUCAUUUCGCUGUGCUUCUAGAUUUUCCUCUUUCUGAAGUCAAAUCAGAAAAAGGAAGAAAAAAAAACAUGCGCUCACUAUGUUCCACACGGACCUAAAAGAGGGAUGGACAAUGAAAGAAAAAAAGGCGGAAAAGAAAGCCAAACAGAGAGGACUGGAGUUUGGGGACGCUUCAUCAGAAAUCCUGGAAUUUGUGCAGAUCUGGACAAAUCUGUAAACGAGCGGAGAGGCAGCCGGUGAGAAGUGUCUAUGGCAAACUGCAGGUAAGGCACUCUCAGAUGUUGUGGAGAGACCCUGAUGUUGAAUCAUUUUUGCUUUACUAUUUCUUUCCAGAUUUGACCAAAUUGACACACAUUGGCAGUUUUGCAGAAGAUACUGAAAAUCAUGCAUGGUUUGCGCCACACACAAUGUGGUAAGAAAUGUUUUAAGGGAACAGGACAGUGCUGUUUGUGAUGAUGCAAGUGGAGAGGUCAUGAAGUCAUACAGGCUACAAAAGCUGCACACCUGACCCCUGAAGAGACCUUUUGCAAUGACUGAAGCCUGCUGACUGGACAGUGGUGAAAAAAGCCCCAUAGCAACCAGUGGUGACUUCAGAAAGAACCUUCAAAGUACCAUAAAAUUCUUACUUUUUCUCAUUCACAGUCUUGUUAAAGUAAUUUUUAUGGCAUGGCACCACUAUAUUUAUGAGGUAAUUCCUGUAAAUAAAAGAAAAAUCUUGUGUUUUGCAGGCACAUUAUCUGUGGUUUCUCCCUCUGCAGAAUUAGUUUGGGAUUAGCAUGGAUUCAGAGAUAAUAGGAAGGCACACAGUUUGGGGCCAAAGCAAUCUGGAAUGAACAGCAUAAUUACCAUCUCAAGCUCAAGGUCCAGUUGCUUGGAAGGACCAAAUAUUGGCGGUUUCGCUGAAAGGCAAAAG